rnacentral:rRNA from 1 species
GUGGGGAAUCUUGCGCAAUGGGCGAAAGCCUGACGCAGCCAUGCCGCGUGAAUGAUGAAGGUCUUAGGAUUGUAAAAUUCUUUCACCGGGGACGAUAAUGACGGUACCCGGAGAAGAAGCUCCGGCUAACUUCGUGCCAGCAGCCGCGGUAAUACGAAGGGGGCUAGAGUUGCUCGGAAUUACUGGGCGUAAAGGGCGCGUAGGCGGACAGCUUAGUCAGAGGUGAAAGCCCAGGGCUCAACCUUGGAAUUGCCUUUGAUACUGGCUGUCUUGAGUUUGGGAGAGGUGAGUGGAACUCCGAGUGUAGAGGUGAAAGUCGUAGAUAUUCGGAAGAACACCAGUGGCGAAGGCGACAUACUGGUCCAUUACUGACGCUGAGGCUCGAAAGCGUGGGGAGCAAACAGGAUUAGAUACCCGGGUAGUCC